rnacentral:rRNA from 1 species
AGAGUUUGAUCCUGGCUCAGAUUGAACGCUGGCGGCAUCGCCUUACACAUGCAAGUCGAACGUAACGGGCCUUCGGGUGCCGACGAGUGGCGAACGGUGAGUAAUGCAUCGGAACGUACCUUCAGUGGGGAUAACGUAGCGAAAGUUACGCUAAUACCGCAUAUUCUGUGAGCAGGAAAGCAGGGGAUCGCAAGACCUUGCGCUGAUUGAGCGACCGAUGUCAGAUUAGCUAGUUGGUGAGGUAAAGGCUCACCAAGGCGACGAUCUGUAGCGGGUCUGAGAGGAUGAUCCGCCACACUGGAACUGAGACACGGUCCAGACUCCUACGGGAGGCAGCAGUGGGGAAUUUUGGACAAUGGGGCAACCCUGAUCCAGCCAUGCCGCGUGAGUGAAGAAGGCCUUCGGGUUGUAAAGCUCUUUCGGCCGGGAAGAAAUCGUAUGGGCUAAUACCCUGUGCGGAUGACGGUACCGGCAUAAGAAGCACCGGCUAACUACGUG